ACAUACGACCAUAGGGUGUGGAGAACAGGGCUUCCCGUCCGCUCAGCCGUACUUAAGCCACACGCCGGCAGGUUAGUAGUUGGGUGGGUGACCACCAGCGAAUCCCUGCUGUUGUAUGUU
rfam:Penicillium decumbens strain IBT 11843 PENDEC_contig002, whole genome shotgun sequence.